GUCUCCCAUCCAAGUACUAACCAGGCCCAACCCUACUUAAGCUUCCAAGAUCAGAUGAGAUUGGGCACGUUCAGGG
rnacentral:sRNA from 1 species